ACGAACGCUGGCGGCGUGCUUAACACAUGCAAGUCGAACGGAAAGGCCCUGCUUUUGUGGGGUGCUCGAGUGGCGAACGGGUGAGUAACACGUGAGUAACCUGCCCUUGACUUUGGGAUAACUUCAGGAAACUGGGGCUAAUACCGGAUAGGAGCUCCUGCUGCAUGGUGGGGGUUGGAAAGUUUCGGCGGUUGGGGAUGGACUCGCGGCUUAUCAGCUUGUUGGUGGGGUAGUGGCUUACCAAGGCUUUGACGGGUAGCCGGCCUGAGAGGGUGACCGGCCACAUUGGGACUGAGAUACGGCCCAGACUCCUACGGGAGGCAGCAGUGGGGAAUAUUGCCCACUGGGCGGAAGCCUGAUGCAGCAACGCCGCGUGCGGGAUGACGGCCUUCGGGUUGUAAACCGCUUUCGCCUGUGACGAAGCGUGAGUGCCGGUCAUGGGUAAAGAAGCCCCGGCUCCCUACGUG
rnacentral:rRNA from 1 species